GUACUGCUCAUGUUCUUCACGGU
rnacentral:siRNA from 1 species